rnacentral:rRNA from 1 species
CCCUUGUAGUACUGGGACUCUAACCAUAGGCCAUGAAUCUGGUCUUGGGACACUGUCAGGUGGGCAGUUUGACUGGGGCGGUCGCCUCCCAAAAGGGAACGGAGGCGCUCAAAGGUUCUCUCAGUACGGUCGGAAAUCGUACGUAGAGUGUAAAGGCAAAAGAGAGCUUGAUUGCAAGACAUACAGGUCGAGCAAGGAUGAAAAUCGGACUUAGUGAUCCGGUGGUUCUGCGUGGAAGGGCCAUCGCUCAACGGAUAAAAGCUACCCUGGGGAUAACA